rnacentral:rRNA from 1 species
UACGUAGGGGGCUAGCGUUGUCCGGAAUCAUUGGGCGUAAAGAGCGUGUAGGCGGCCAUACAGGUCAGCUGUGAAAACUCGAGGCUCAACCUCGAGACGUCGGUUGAAACCGUAUGGCUAGAGUCCGGAAGAGGAGAGUGGAAUUCCCGGUGUAGCGGUGAAAUGCGCAGAUAUCGGGAAGAACACCCGUGGCGAAGGCGGCUCUCUGGGACGGUACUGACGCUGAGACGCGAAAGCGUGGGGAGCGAACAGG